rnacentral:sRNA from 1 species
AAGGAGGUGCGAUCAUGACGAAGUCAGAUAUAUGAAUCGCACCGACCGACACGCCGCCGAACUUGCGUGAGGUGGCAAUACAUA